rnacentral:rRNA from 1 species
AUUGAACGCUGGCGGCAGGCCUAACACAUGCAAGUCGAGCGGAUGAAGGUAGCUUGCUCCUGGAUUCAGCGGCGGACGGGUGAGUAAUGCCUAGGAAUCUGCCUGGUAGUGGGGGAUAACGUCCGGAAACGGGCGCUAAUACCGCAUACGUCCUGAGGGAGAAAGUGGGGGAUCUUCGGACCUCACGCUAUCAGAUGAGCCUAGGUCGGAUUAGCUAGUUGGUGGGGUAAAGGCCUACCAAGGCGACGAUCCGUAACUGGUCUGAGAGGAUGAUCAGUCACACUGGAACUGAGACACGGUCCAGACUCCUACGGGAGGCAGCAGUGGGGAAUAUUGGACAAUGGGCGAAAGCCUGAUCAAGACAUGCCGCGUGUGGGAAGAAGGUCUUCGGAUUGUAAAGCACUUUAAGUUGGGAGGAAGGGCAGUAAGUUAAUACCUUGCUGUUUUGACGUUACCAACAGAAUAAGCACCGGCUAACUUCGUG